GUCUAAAGAGUUAGGAAGUUUCCAGAAAGGAAUGGCCACAGCCUCUCAGGGAUUCCCAAGUCCCAGAGGCCCAGAACAUUGGGUGAGUCCUAAAGAGAGGGCCCAUGUGUGAAGCUAUCUGGGCAGAGUUCUUCGGUUCCAAGAGGAGAGGGCACACCAUGCCACACAUGGCCCCGUGGGGAAGCACCAGGUCAGCCCUGAAGAAGAGGAGGAAAUUGUGGGAAGUGGCUAACCCUGGGACGAGCAGUUCCUCCAGGACCAGCGAGGCUCCAGAUGUCAAAGCAUCACAUCCAGACGAUAAAAGACAUGGUCAACGCACCUGGCCAUUUAAAAACAGGGGGCAGGCCAGAUUUGGCCCACGGGCUGCGGAUUGCCAAUCCAUGUGCUAGGAGAACAAAGAUAAUAGCUAAUAUCAAACAUGCAAUUAUUAUGAAAAAUAAAGACUUUAUAGUAAAUAUAGUAAAUCCUGAAGCUUCUUGAUCUUUGCCAGUAAACACUGAAGAAAGAAAUUGUAAUUUAUGACAACAAGAAACAAGCUGUAUCUAUUUAAAUUUAAGGAAGACAUUACCCCCAUCUGGCCAAUGUAUUCUGUUCACUCUGCUCCUCUUGUGCCCAGGACAUAAGCAUUCCCUAACCUGCUCUUUCAUAUCCUUACUGAGAAGAGUAAAUUCCAGAACAGAACUAGAAUUCUCAACAUGAUUGUAUCUUCACAAGCACUCUAGUAAAAUAUUAGUGUGAUCUCUGUGGUCUCAUCAUUUUACCCAAGGCUAAAUGAAGGUUUUUGGAGCUCAUAAUCUAAUUAUAUCUUUGUGAA